rnacentral:misc_RNA from 1 species
GUAAAUGUUUAGCUUCAUAAAAGAAGCUUUUUCAAGAAAGUUUCUAUUUCAGAAUAAUUUGGAUGGAAUAUCUGUGCCAGGAAUUCUGGAAUGGGCCGGGCCUGUACCAGGAUUUAGUUUCCAUGCUUGGGUUAGACUUGAUGAUAGAGCAGAUGAGCUUAAUACCAGGAGACAAUUAUACAGCCUUUACACCAAUUCCGGGUCUGGACUAGAGGCUUUCUUUUUACCCGGAGGUAUUUUGGCAGUGGGUUCUGCUUACAAGAAGGAGUUUUUUGUUACAAAAUGUGAAGAUCUUCCUUUAAAUGAUGGCCAGUGGCAUUCCUUAACAGUUUGUCAGGCAUCUGGAAAGAGGCCUUUUGGACAUAGCCAACUGAGUAUCUAUAUUGAUGGAACCUUGCGGACCCAAAGUUCUCUCAAGUAUCCCACCUUCAUUGAUCCUAUUGCUUAUUGUCAGAUUGGUUCAGAGUUGAUGAGAGCAAAUCUACCUGCACUUAAUGUUGCAAACAUUUCAAAAACUAGUAUUAAGGAUAACAUUAAGGAUGCUCUGAAGAGCACAGGAGUUUUUGCUCUGCCUGCCUAUUUGAAACCAUCAAGUACAGAUCCCAAGGUUCAAUGGACUAUGCUUGGCAUGGAAGAUGUAAUGUGGGGACGGUCUAUUGCAAUCACUGGACAAAUAGGGCUUAUUUAUGUUUUUCAGGAUUGUCUACAACCAAGUCAAGCCAAGAUUCUUCAUGCUCUUGGGGCCAACAGUUGUUUACAGCAUCAUCCUGAUCAAGAAUCAACUGAUGUUAUAGACAUGUUAUCAAAAUUAGUUUUCAACUAUUCUCCUAAAGUGUGCCACAAUAUGGUUUGCACUAAUCUAUCGACUAAUCAACUAGCUUGCUUUGAUGGACACACUUUGGCAAAACCUUUUUCAACAAAAGAUCCCAAGGAUGUUAUCAACAGUCUAGGGGGAAUUCAAGUUCUUUUCCCUAUCCUUGAAACAUCCUUAUACAGCACAAAGUUGGAUUCAUCAUACACUUCAAUCACUCAAGAGAUUUCAAAAUCUGGCUCAGCAGAAUCGGAACAGGAUUGGGAAAUGAUUGCAUCCAGUUCAUUUUCUGAUUGGAACCUAGAGAAAAAUCCUGUUUCUGGAUUUUUAACUCUGAUCAAAAACAUGACCACAAAUCACCAGGUUAAUCAAGAACAGCUUAUAAGAGGAGGCGGUGUUGCUAUUAUGGGGUCACUCCUGCAGAAAGUAGACACCAGUUUGAUAGAUGUCAAUGUUCUCAUGGCCUCCCAGUUGUUUGUGGAAAUUUUGACAACCACUAAGCAGAGUAAGCUUCUGUAUCAGUUCUAUCACAGCAUUCUCUUUGAUUUUAGAAUUUGGUCAAGGUCUGAGUUUCAUAUGCAAAUUGGUCAUGUGCAAUAUAUCUCAACCCUCAUAAUGUCAGACAGGAAAUAUUUUAGAAAAAAGUUUGGUGUUCAGUUCUUUUUUGAUGUAGUCAGACAGCAUUAUUCCAAUGAGGACAAUAAGAAGCUUUCAAGUGAGGACUGUGUUACCAUCAGAGGAGCCCUUUUUGGACUGGUCAAAUUCUUUCUUCUAAAAGAUGUGAAUGCAAGAGAGGUUUCAGCAUUGCUAAACUUUAUGUAUUCUAACAGAAAGAGUCCAAUUCUCGGUGAAGUAUUGGACAUGCUAAUUUUGCACUUAGAGUCAAAGUUAGUCAAAGAUCAACUGUUUUUGUUAUUGUUCGAACCUUAUUGCCUAGAUCUUAUAUACUGUAUUUUGCUUGAAAAUACAGAUGAGCUUAUUCGCAUGAAAAUAUACAGAAUCAUCACAGAUUUUCUCAGAACCUCAAAAAUAUCCAACAGAUACAAGGGGCGUCUUCAUUUACAACCUGUUGGAUAUCAUGGGUUUCUCUACAUAAGAAGCCCUAAAGAGCCUCCAAUUUCACUUCAAGAAGUUUCAUUUCUAACAGACCACAUGUUGAUGUUUGACCAUGUUUCAAGCUACCAAGGAAUUUUGUCUCUGUGUCAGCAUCUACAGAUGGCUCAUGUUGAUAUAAAGCUAGAAAUUGCAAGGAAGUUGCUGACUCUAGUCUACUCACAUCCUCAAGCAGCUUCUCAUCUUAUUAAACAGGUGGGGUGGGAAGGUUGUAUAGCAAGACUCCUUGUCAAGGAAAUUGUGCAACCUGAACUUGAUACCAUGGUUUCUGUUGAGGAUGUCAUAAGCCUUGGUGAUGAAGAAGAUAAUAUUCCUGAAGAACAAUCAUCUCCUACUCGGUACAUAAACAUCGUAACAGAUACUGCAAAGCAGUACCUGCCAACACAAGCAGGAAAUGCGGUAAAACUUGUUGGGGAUUCUGUUGGGUCAGUGGCAGAUGAGGCUGGUAAAGUCUUAGCAGGAACUAGCAAGCUUGUAAGGUCAAAUAUAUUAAAUGCUUCCGACAAGGUUUCCUCCACUGUACAAAGGACUCAUAAUUUAGUAACAGACAAAGUUCACAGUGCUCAUCAGAAGGUUAAUAACACUGUUUAUAAGGCAAACACAAUUUUGGAAACUGUCGGAGACCUCACAUCAUCUAAGAAAAGACACAGCAAUGCUUCCAUGGAUGGAAACCCACAAUUUUUGCAGAACUAUUCAUAUGGUUUUGGAGAUGCAGAUGUUAUGUCCAAUAGUUCUGAAGAUAUUUCAAGAAGCAGAGAGACCAUCUGUAGCUCACCCACCAGAACACAUGAGAGUAUUUCCGAAGAUGAGAUAAGUUUUGAUAUGGACCACUUUGGUUCUGAGUUGGAGUCCCUCAAACUUGGGAAAACAGGUGGAGAAGAAACACGGGAGGAAGAAUUGGUUGAGCUCGUAACAAAUAUUUUCUUUUCUAUUCUUUGGCGGGGAACUCUGACAAGACAUAGAAAAGACCAGGCCAGCUAUCUGUUACAAUCAUAUGGGCAAAUUAUUGCCUCUGUAAAUUUAAUGGCCUUGAAUAACAAACUCUUUAUCAGUCAUAUGGUAAUGAAAAGAAAAAUAAUUGAACUCUGCUUGCAAGCUCUGCUGUCUGACAUUAGAGAGAAGAAUCAAACUCUAAGUGAGCAUGCCAUAAUGGCAAAAAAUAUUAUGGAGAUAGCUUUUGAUCUUGUCAUCCUGGAUGAACAUGAUGACUUUUCCAAAAAGGUUAGUGAAGAUCUGUUAGAUGGAAUUUUGGGAAUUCUGGAUAGGUUCUCUGUAUUUCAUGAAGGAAAUACUGACAAAGAAUGGGAUGAUUUGGGAAGAAUGGCAUUCAGUAUUCUUCUUGAAUGUGCAGAAAACACCAAGGAUCUUGAUUUCUGUGCUAUUGCAACUGCUAAGCUUCACUCCCUGGUUCAAAGCAGACAAGACCCAAGUCCAGAUGAGGUUGGGUAUUUAAUUUAUCGAGUAAACAAGAUAAUUGAAAAUGCCUUAAUGAAAGAGAACACUGAUCACUAUGCAUUCUUUGUUCCAAUCAUGAAAGCACUUCUGGAUAAAAGCAAAUUUUGUCUUCAACUCACCAAGCAGUUACCAUCUUUGAGUUUUAGGUUAACUGGUUGUGAGUUCUUUGAGCAGUUUCAGACAUACUCUAAAGAAGAAGAAUGGAAGUACUUUGUAACCAGAAAGAUCAAUGUCUUGCAUGAUGAAUACUGUCUGGGUGUGCUGACCAAUCUUAGAGAUCACUUUAAUGAGUUCUGGGGAAACUCCUACGAGGAAGCUAAAGUUGCUGUUCACAGACAAAGGCUAAAGGAUGAAAAGGCUAGAUUUCAGAAUCUUUUAACUCAACACAGAAGUAACUGUAUCUUUGUCGAGAAGCGGUGGAGAAUAUUAAAGAGACUAUUCUUCGGGCCCCGAGGAGCUUGGGGUAAGAAAGGACAUCUUCUAGCUGAUCAUUGGAUGCUCGGACACAAUGAGAACCUGCACAGAAUGAGAAUGAAACUGGUUCCCAACCCCUCCUUCAAUCUCCACCUGGAGGCUAGUGCACAGAGGGAUAAUAUCCGGAGACAGAAUACAGAUACUGACAACUUUAUCCAGCUACAGAUAUCAAAGGAGGCUGUAGUUUCUACACCUAAUGAAGACGAGUCUGAUUUGACAGAAGAUGAUCUGAAAGCUAUUGCCAAGGAGCAGAUGAAUUCUCAGGAGCAAGAUGCUGAACAUGAGCAGGAGAAGUUCUUGACGAGCGAGGAGUGUGAGCUGGUCACCUUGAUGUCUGUUGUAAGGGGGAGGUUCGAGCUGACCAACACAUUUAUAUAUUUCUUCGAUUCAAGACCAAUAAAGGACGGAGAGGAGAGACAGGAUAACCGAUGGAGUACAUCCAACCUCAGGGAGGUUUAUCUCCGCAGGUUCAAUCUCAGGAAAUCAGCUCUCGAGUUCUUCUUGUCCGAUCAAACCAACUUUUUUCUCAACUUCCCAACCCUGAAGAAGCGGAGUAAGGUUUAUCUCAAGAUAUUGAGUUUAAAACUACCAAACCUAGUUUAUCACGGCACAAGGUCGCCCAAGGAUCUCUUGAAGGUGUCUGGUCUCACCCAGAAAUGGUCAAACCGGGAGAUUUCAAACUUUGAAUAUCUUAUGCAUUUAAACACAAUCGCCGGAAGGAGUUAUAAUGAUCUCAGUCAGUAUCCGGUGUUCCCCUGGAUCCUGUCAGACUACGACUCUACAACCCUGGACCUUGGGUCCACGGCCACUUUCAGGGACCUCUCUAAACCUAUGGGAGUACAGAACCCAGGACAUGUGACCGAAAUUCGGCAGAAGUAUGAGAACUUUGAGGAUCCUAGUGGAACCAUUGCCAAGUUUCAUUAUGGAACCCACUACUCCAACUCUGCGAUGGUUCUCCACUACAUGGUGAGGAUGGAACCAUUCACCAGUCUUCACAUCAACCUUCAGUCCGGUAGGUUUGACGUGGCUGACCGUCAGUUCCACUCCCUUCCACAGACCUGGCGUAGUCUCAUCAAUAACAUCAACGACGUCAAGGAACUUAUCCCGGAGUUCUUCUAUUUCCCGGAUUUCCUGCUGAACCUCAACUACUUUGACCUCGGGCGUCUUCAAGGGAAAAAUCAGGCUGUCGGUGAUGUUAUACUUCCAGCCUGGGCGGCCAAUGUGGACGAUUUUAUACGACAGCAUCGGAACGCGCUUGAAAGCGAAUAUGUUUCUGCACACCUUCACGAGUGGAUUGAUCUCAUAUUUGGCUACAAACAGAAAGGAGUUGAAGGAGAAGAGGCGAUGAAUAUAUUCUAUUACUGCUGCUACGAGGGGGCGGUCAACCUAGACGCAAUAUCUGAUCCUGCAGAGAGAGAAGCUCUGGAGGGAAUGAUUCAGAACUUUGGACAGGUUCCCUGUCAGUUGCUGAAGGAACCGCAUCCAACCAGAAUCUCUUACACUGAGCACCGCCAACGGCUACUAAAGUCCGACCAUCACAGGCCUGACCUGUUGAAGUAUUCCUCCAACUGGAGGAUGAAUAUGGUUGAGCUAGGGGAUGAAAGGAAUCCUUUAAUAUUUCUCAAUCAUCCACAACAGCAGACAAGAUCAUAUCUGUAUGGAGCUGUAGAUUAUCUGUUAUCUGUAUCUUCUGAUCUCUGUAUCGGGCUCCACUCCUGGCUCCCCUAUGACAAGUCGAAAAUGAAUGCAAACUAUUUUUAUCUUGACAAAGAUACAACGCUGGGAACCAAGAUGGGAAGAAAGCUGGCUGGACCUGUCUCACGAUCUCUUCGCGUAAAACCAGAGUUAUUCGGUGUCACAUCUGAUUCCAGGUUCCUUGUGUACGGAGGGAGCUGGGAUAAUAGCGUACGAGUUUACAGUCUUGCACGGAGUAAAGAAGUUGGAGCAUCAAUCAGACACACGGACCUAGUAACCUGUAUUGGGAUGGAUGAAGGUGGGAACCAUUGUAUUUCGGGUAGCCAGGAUACAACUGCUAUUAUCUGGGAGCUCAACCCUACUCAGGAUACCUGUACACCUAGAAGUAUCCAGGUAUUGUACGGGCAUGAUGAAUCUGUCAGCUGUGUCUGUAUAUCUAUCUGUCUGGACCUGGCUCUUACUGGGAGUAAGGAUGGAACUGUGAACGUUCAUUCAAUCAAGGAUGGACAAUACAUGAGAACUUUUAACCCUGCAGGAGUAGACGUACAGUACACCGUAGACCUUCUACAUUUAUCCUAUCAGGGACACGUGAUAUAUACAGGGCACACUUCUGAAACUCAUUCUGUACACGUGUACACACUCAACGGAAGACAUUUAGCGUCAGCUGAUAUACAACACAGGGUUACAGGAUUAGUGAGUUCUGGAGAUUAUAUACUUACUGGAGAUGAGAAUGGAGAUUUAAAUCUUCUAGAUCUUUUUAAUCUCCAGGUAUUGAAGAGUCUAAAUCUACAGUUGCCAGUGCAGACCUUGACUCUAACCAGGGGGAACACACACAUCCUUGCUCCUCUUAGGGACGGCAAGCUUAUUGUUGUUGGACUGGCUGGACUACCAGAGAACUACGCUUAGACUACAACUGGACUAACAGGACUUCCAAUGAACUACGCUUAGACUUAAAAAAGAGUUGCAGGACUAUCAGACUACCACAGAACUUUAAGAACAGAAUACAUAAAAAAGACUUGACGCAUUGUAUAAUCAACUGUAGAUGUUUCAAUUCAUGUAUAUUUUGGUUUAUUAAACGUCGCCAGUUAUCGAUUUACUGAUAUAAUAAGCUUUAAUCAAGAUGCUGAUUUUUGCUGGUUUACUAAGUUUUCGUCUGACCCACGACGCUUUUAUAAACCUAAAAACAUGUUCAACCUUGUUUUAAAACAAUGUAUGACCCUGUUAUGGAUAAGAACAGGUUGACGAACCAACCCCCCUGAAUUUUCCAACUUUUGUGGGCAUUGUUUAAAGUUGAGAUUUUAAAUAUUUGUAAUUCAUAAUUGUUAAAGUAUUAUUUAGUCACGUCACAUUCCUUUUUUAAAACCCUGAUUUCUAUAACCUAUGAUGUGGUGCCCCCCCCCCUUCUGCAUUAACUACCACUAUCAUAAUUAACUAGUCACUGUGUAUUUUCAUGUUAAAGAAGGUCAAUGUUGUGAAACCAACUAUUGUAACCAUUAAUAUCUCCACUCAGCAAUCCACAUUAUUUGUCAAAAUUUAAAAUGUGUAAUUUGCUCUUAAACUGAUUUGAUAUAAAUUGAUCGUCAAUUUAUGUCCACGUUUAAUGAAAAAGUGGACCUCAUAAAACUGUGGAAUAACGCAAGUUGUUAGGAUUUUAAAUAGUCAAAUAAACAGGAACACACUCCAUAGAUUCUAUUUAAGCAUGGGUAAAAUUAUUUGUUUUAUAACAACGUUAAUAAAUGAUAAAACAAGCUUGAUUAAAUGUCGUCUGCGUAUUCCACGGUUUUAUUGGUCCCAAAUAAUGUCCUUGUUAUGUUCAAUGGCUAUAGCAUUAUACCAAAUAUGCACAUUCACUACGUUCAUGAUCAUGUUGUCCCAUUGUAACAAUGUAGAUAGUUUUUAAAUAUUUCUAGUCAAUUGUUGAUUUUGCUCCCUAAGAACACCCCUCUCUCAAAUUUGUGGUAAUGCCUGUAUCUGCAGCUUAUUGUGUAAUUUCAUGACUUCAUCUCAUAAAUUAAGAUUAAUAGUAUCUAAAAAUAAAUCCUAAUCGUCAAAGAU